rnacentral:lncRNA from 1 species
CAGACUUUCACUGGGAGGGCAGUCUGCUGGAGAAUUCUAUCUAGCUUGUGAGGCUGAUGUUUUUCUUCCAUUCAGGCCAUCUACUGAUUGGAUGAGGCCCACCAGCAUUCUGAAAGACAAGGAAUCUGAGACCUGGCUGGGAGAAGAGGACUUGCCUAAAGUUAUCCCACACAGCAAAUUAGUUGGAAAACCAGGAUAGUUGAGUAAAUAUCCUGGAGCCCAGCCAAGUAAUGAAGCCAGAAUUCAGAAAGCUGUUUUGGCUAGAUCUUGGAUUUUUACAAUAAAGGGUCUGUAAGGGAUAUUUGUGAAAAAUGUUGACACUUGACGGCUGUCCUGAUUCAUUCAGCUACCUAGGUUAUCUCUGCCUCUCUUUGACUUGUGUUUUGUCUUUUAAGAUGGCAGUCUUGCUCUUUUGCCUGGGCUGGUCUUGAACUCCUGGGCUCAAGCAGUUUUCCUGCUUUAGCCUCCUGAGUAGCUGGGGCUACAGGAGGACAUCACUGUGCCCAGCUCUCUCCGUAUCUUUGACUAGGUUAUUUUACAACCCCAUACGAUAGAAAUGAAGUUAUAGAAAACUGAUAGGAAUACAAAUAAUUAUUAUCCAUGGAAAUGCAAAUUGGAUCUAAUGGAAUGAAACUGAUUUUUUUUCCAGCAGAUAGUGACCACCUUUGUAUCCUUUUGUAAAUUCAUUUCAGCAUUCCAUAUUUGACUAAAAAUGUGUGACACUCCCAAUUUGCUUUUGAAUUCAUUGUAAUAUCUACCAAUUCCCUCAUUAAUUAAUGAGUUAAAUAAAGCCUUUGGCAUGUAUUUAUUUUGUAUCUAUAGGAGAGUCAUGAGUAUAUCUUCUUUUAAAAGGUAUUCUUCAGUAGGUCUUAGGGUGCACAAUACUUACAUCUUAUUUUCUCAUUCUACACUGUUCCCACACCUCACCCAGAAUAAAUGUAAUCUCCUGUGAGCUUCUGAACAUCAUGAAGAAUAACAGCUCAU